GCUGGGCUCAGUGGUGCACGCCUGUAAUCCUAGUGGCUCAGGAGGCUGAGGCAGGAGGAUCACAAGUUCAAAGCCAGCCUCAGCAACUUAGCGAGGCUCUAAGCAACUUAGUAAGAUCCUGUCUCUG
rnacentral:sRNA from 1 species